rnacentral:rRNA from 1 species
GAUGAACGCUAGCGGCAGGCCUAACACAUGCAAGUCGAGGGAUAAGCCUUCGGGCUAAGACCGGCGCACGGGUGCGUAACGCGUAUACAAUCUGCCUUUUAUCCGGGGGAUAGCCCGAAGAAAUUUGGAUUAAUACCCUAUGGUAUAAGAGCACGGCAUCGUGCACUUAUUAAAGCUACGGCGGUAAAAGAUGAGUAUGCGUUCUAUUAGCUAGUUGGAGAGGUAACGGCUCCCCAAGGCGACGAUAGAUAGGGGUUCUGAGAGGGAUGUCCCCCACACUGGUACUGAGAUACGGACCAGACUCCUACGGGAGGCAGCAGUGAGGAAUAUUGGACAAUGGUCGGAAGACUGAUCCAGCCAUGCCGCGUGCAGGAUGACGGCCUUAUGGGUGGUAAACUGCUUUUGGAAGGGAAGAAUAAGGAGUACGUGUACUUUGAUGACGGUACCUUACGAAUAAGCAUCGGCUAACUCCGUG